rnacentral:rRNA from 1 species
UACGUAGGUGACAAGCGUUGUCCGGAUUUACUGGGCGUAAAGAGCGCGCAGGCGGUCGUUCAAGUCGAGUGUGAAAGCCCCCGGCUCAACUGGGGAGGGUCAUUCGAUACUGAUCGACUCGAAGGCAGGAGAGGGUAGUGGAAUUCCCGGUGUAGUGGUGAAAUGCGUAGAUAUCAGGAAGAACACCAACGGCGAAGGCAGCUCGCUGGGACGGUACUGACGCUGAGACGCGAAAGCGUGGGGAGCGAACAGG